UUAUCUAUACAGGAUUAGCUU
ensembl:piRNA 21ur-13038 ncRNA